rnacentral:rRNA from 1 species
AAAUUGAAGAGUUUGAUCAUGGCUCAGAUUGAACGCUGGCGGCAGGCCUAACACAUGCAAGUCGAACGGUAACAGGAAUCAGCUUGCUGAUUCGCUGACGAGUGGCGGACGGGUGAGUAAUGUCUGGGAAACUGCCUGAUGGAGGGGGAUAACUACUGGAAACGGUAGCUAAUACCGCAUAACGUCGCAAGACCAAAGAGGGGGACCUUCGGGCCUCUUGCCAUCGGAUGUGCCCAGAUGGGAUUAGCUAGUAGGUGGGGUAAAGGCUCACCUAGGCGACGAUC